rnacentral:rRNA from 1 species
GACAGAGGGUGCAAACGUUGUUCGGAUUUACUGGGCGUAAAGCGUGUGUAGGCAGCUUCGCAAGUUGGAUGUGAAAUCCCACGGCUCAACCGUGGACGUGCAUCCAAAACUGCGUCGCUAGAGUCUCGGAGAGGAAGGUGGAAUGCUUGGUGUAGAGGUGAAAUUCGUAGAUAUCAAGCAGAACACCUGCGGCGAAGGCGGCCUUCUGGACGAUGACUGACGCUGAGACACGAAAGCGUGGGGAGCAAACAGG